AAAUGAAAAAUUCUUUACGGAAAUUCUGAGGAGUAAUUGAGUCUAGUGCAUGUAUCGCUGCUUGCAAGUAAGUGUUUGGAAUACCGAAAAUCCCCAUCUCUCCAUCUUCCUUCACAAUCAGAUCUCACAUACACACUCUCUGUGCACUAUCUCUCUCCCACUUUCUCUGUACCCGAAUCUGAAUCUGAAUCACCAUACAAAUUCUGCAGAAAACUCCACAUAUUCUCCAAUCUCAUCAGAUUGAAUUGAUCAAUCAAUUAUCAAAUUCACUUUCAAUUCAAUCUGGUGAUGUCUAAUCCCAAUCAACCUCAACCUCCAACUCCUUUCGACAUGCACUCUUUCUUCAAUCCCCCAAACCCUAACCUUAACCCUAGCCCUAAUCCUAUCAUUUCUUCUCAAUUCCCUCCCUCCACCCCUUCACCACCACCGUCUUCUUCCUCCUCUUACCCUCCACCCGCAAACCCUAACCUUAACCCUAGCCCUAAUCCUAUCAUUUCUUCUCAAUUCCCUCCCUCCACCCCUUCACCACCACCGUCUUCUUCCUCCUCUUACCCUCCACCCGCCGGUCCUUUCCCUCCUCAACCUUUCCCUCACCACCACAACAACCACAACAACAACUACCCCUACGAUCACCAUAACAAUUUCCCAAUCCACCACCGUUCCCUUUCUUUCCCUACUCCCCCUCUUCAACCUCAACCAAUCCCUCCACCUUCCAAUCCCAACGCCGGUGCCCGUCUAAUGGCUCUCCUCAGCGCCCCUCCUCAACAGCAACAACAUCAACAACAUCAACAACAUCAACAACAACAACAACCCGUUUCCAUCUCUGUUCCAUUCUCUUCCGAUUACGGUGCUGCUGCUAAUUUGCCUUCGCCAUCGCAACUGGUUACUCCCUCUGCCUCUG
rnacentral:lncRNA from 1 species